GAUCCUGGCUCAGGAUGAACGCUAGCGGCAGGCUUAACACAUGCAAGUCGAGGGGUAUAGUUCUUCGGACCAAGAGACCGGCGCACGGGUGCGUAACGCGUAUGCAAUCUACCUUUGCAGAGGGAUAGCCCAGAGAAAUUUGGAUUAAUACCUCAUAGUAUAGUACUUUGGCAUCAAGGAACUAUUAAAGUCACAACGGCAAAAGAUGAGCAUGCGUCCCAUUAGCUAGUUGGUAAGGUAACGGCUUACCAAGGCUACGAUGGGUAGGGGUCCUGAGAGGGAGAUCCCCCACACUGGUACUGAGACACGGACCAGACUCCUACGGGAGGCAGCAGUGAGGAAUAUUGGACAAUGGGCGCAAGCCUGAUCCAGCCAUGCCGCGUGCAGGAUGACGGUCCUAUGGAUUGUAAACUGCUUUUAUACAGGAAGAAACACUCCGACGUGUCGGAGCUUGACGGUACUGUAAGAAUAAGGAUCGGCUAACUCCGUG
rnacentral:rRNA from 1 species